UGCUAGCUAGUUGCUAAACAUAUUCCCUUUUCUUUGGGCCGGUGUCUUAGCUAAAAAACAUUUAUUUAGUUCCUUUACUUCCCGGAGACCGAAGAAAAAAACAAUUACGACGUCAUGUAAUACGAUGCUAGUUUUACCCACAAGUCAACGGGACGAUAGUAUAAAUUAAAACGUCACCCGCCUAAAAUUCUUUUCCGUUCAAAUCGCAAUGGGGAACGUCUGGCUAUCGUUAUGGCCUUUUGGAAAAAAGAUUCUAACAUCUAUUGCAUUUGAUCCUGGAUGACAUGAAUUGGCACUUGGGUGAUUCAGGUAUGGCAGACAAUCAAAUCUAAAUUAUAGUAAUCUAGCCUGUGAUGAAUUUGAUUAAGAGUAGUGGACAGAAAUGAUUUCUGACACAUUUUCAAACUGAUGGCCAUCUAGUAGUGCAUUGUCUGACGUGCCAUCUGGAUGCAUUAAUAAGCCAAGACUUUAUUUUCAGGCAAAUGGCGGUUUCUUUGGAAAACAUUUUUUUCACAGUAAGGUCUUGUAACACCUAACUUUGCUACUGAAAGGCUUUAAUACUGUUAAUGAUGUUUUAAGUAUCUUUGGGAAUCUCUCUGAGACAAUGUGAAAGAGACUUUAGAUCACUGAACUGGUGUACUAUAAUGUACAUCUCUACAUUAUAGUGUGCAGCUAUCUUAAUUUAUCUAUCUUCAUCAGGUCUACCUAAUUUGGACUGCCUUGGUCUGAAUUUUAAUAAUGAUCAUGGAACCAUUAAUGGAAUAGCAGAUGUUUCUGAAGUUACAGAAAGGAAGAAUGGGUGUUUUCGGUGUCUGUUGAAGAUUUGUUGACAAUCCCCUCGACAAGUCAAAGUAAAUGUACCUAUAGGUUGGGUCACGAAAGCAAGCAAGGACCGUUGUGGACCAGCUGACUUGACUGUUAAAUAGAAAAAUGUGAAUCAGACUUGACUGUUAAAUACAUGUAUUGGAACAGACACUGACUACUCUGGUUAAUGCAGCUUUGUCCAGUUAUUUACUUUAACUGUGAUUUAUCACAUCAAAUGUGAGGUUGACAAUUGUAAUGCUGUUGAAGCAUUACUUGAACUGUGCAGUAGAAAGAUGCGUACAUGGGAACUCUCCCUAACUACUUACACAAAUGUUUUGGGCAUGUUUAAGUGUACUGUAAAUUAGGCAAUAAAAGUACUCAACUAUUUGCCUUGUCUAUAUUAUUGAAUGCCUAUUAGCUUAGGAUUUCCCAACUUUUCAUGGACAUGUUGGUACAUGUAGCUAUACAGUACCUAGCGGUUUAAAUAGAUCUGGCUAACGUUUGUCUACGCCGUUGACAGCGCAAUCUAGCACAUUUGAAAUGUUGGCAAAUAGUUCAACCAUCCCUAUUACUUUGUUCAUGUUUGCUUUCGACUAAUAUCUUUGCGGUUAGAUGAUUGGAAGACCCGAUGGGUUGAAUCCAAACAUGUCGGACUACGGAAAAUGUCUUGUAUGCUGGUAAAUUCUAUGGAGAAGCUGAGACAAAUUUUAAAUAGCUAGUUAAUGUCUUGCACACGUCAGACCUUGUAAAUAUUUAACAAGGUUAACCGUGGCCAUUUCUGAAAUAUUUCCCUAGUGGAACAUCCAGCAGCUAGUCCAUUGGAAUGAACUGGUUUCAACUGGGUUUUAAAAAUCUACUGUUUAAUAAGUUAAGAAUACCCUUUGAAACCAAUCAAAACCCAUUUAAACCAAUAGACCUAUGGGUGGCACCUGCUUCACCAGUUCCAUCCAGUUGAAACCAAUAGGAUGUUACUGGCCAGUUAACAAAUUAAAAUGAAUCCAAUUGGUUAACUGGUCUAAUAAACCCAAUAGAAAGUCAUUGGUAGCAUAACUUUAAAAAAUCUACACUAUUUGCCAUGCGAUUUGUAGAAAACUAACCUUUCCGCAACCAGGCAUUCUUAACUGAUGCCUGCUGAAAAUCUUUCUCGUUUCAAAAUUAUUCGAGUCAACAAGUGUUAGAACUUUUUAUUUUGUUUUAGAAUAUGGACCUACUAUUAAUAUACAAUUCAUAACAAGAACGAUACAGAGGCUCCAGACAAACCCAAGAAAAGAUAACCAGAUGCAAAUUCAUUAACAUCUAUACGGAAAUUCGUUAUAGCAUUUACUUGAAUUUCAGCAUUUGAAUACAUAUUUAAACAUUUUUAUUAUAAUACAUUAUUUCUAUAGCACCUUUCAUAAGGACUUUACAUCCGCACACAAUAAAAACAAACAAACGUAAAAAAGAUUAACCACUCAAUUCAAAGGGCAGAAAAAGAGGAUCAAUGUUGGGCUGGACCUGUGUAUUAGAAUAUUUGGAUAAUCUUUCAUUGGGUAGGUAAUUUAUCGUCUAAAGACUGUAAAAGUAGAGCACACACUGGGUUUUGGGGAUAUUGAAACAAUCAGUCCUUUUCAUGAUUAUUAAGAAAUGUACAUAUAUACAUUUUGUCACUGAACUCAAGUAAUAAACACUUUCCAACAAUGUCACUAGGGAGCACAACACUUAUGUUCUAACCGACUGAUGCAUGUUAUGUGGGGGGUGUUUGCAAUGGCUUUGUUACGAUGAACAUUGAAAAGUUUGACAAAGAGCAUAACCUCAAUGUGUAGAUGUGCAAAUUUUGAUUAUUUCACCGAAUACAACUGUAUUGCUUGUUUUGAUGCACCUUUUGUAGCCGGUGCUGUCAAGCCUUUGACCUUUGUAGACCAGUCUGUUAUGCACUACCACAGCUGAUAUUGGCCAACCACUCUUUUGAAAUAGCUCCUGCUCUUCAGUGUUGAGUGUACACGGAUAACCCUCUUCUAAAACUGUAGUGCCGUGAUGCUCCUCAGCCACUUGUAAUCGGGGGUAAGAAGUUAAGUUGAGACAGAAUUUCAGUAUUUCAUGGUGGACUGUGUAAAUCUGAGAAAACAUGAAUGUUGUAUUUCAUAGUACAACUAUUUUUGUCAACUAUUUGAGUUGCCACACCUCUUGUUCCUUUAACAAGUUUUAAAAUCUCUCCAUUUGCUGAAUCAAAGACAAAUGCAGAAUGUGCCCAAAGAAGCCUGCAUAGCUUAACACUUUUAACAAAGGUGAAGUGCACAUUUGAAGUCAUUUGUUCCUCAUAAAGCUCCUGAACCCUAAACACAAACUCAAGUAAAAGAACAUCUGCUUAAUUUAUAUCAUUUGGGAAAAUGUUGGACUUCAGCAAGAGGUAAAUGGCUUGAACUAAUUUGGCAGUGUUGUAUGUACUUUGAAGGCAAAGUCCAUUCAGACAGGGCAAAUAAUAAAAUAGUAACCAGGUACGCCACUCAGAAGCUUUCCAGAAUUUCUGCUCUUUCAAUGAUCUGGGUAAGGGUGAAAUAUUUCUAGGUGGGUGAAUAGAAAGCAGUCUUGAGUCUAUUGAUUGUAAGUGACUUGGGGUACCAAUGUAAAAUUCUCUUCCCACUGAAUUUAGCCAGAGCUCUGCAAUUUGUCUUGUUACACCAAGAAGAGUACAGUGCAUGUAGUCUGGUGUAAAACCCCAGAAUAUGUUGAAAUGUGGCACAUUUAUAAGAGGAGAAGGACCUUUAACACCCUUAUAACUAACCCUGUCUUGAAGAGCAUUCUCCAUGUGCCUCAAAAUUUAUUUUUCUGUUCUGUCAGGGUACUGUGAUUGUGAAACAGGGUAUUUAACUUGCCCUGCUACCAAUUUCCCAGGAUGAUAGCACAAACUGCACACAAAGUAACCAUUGUAUUGCAUUGUGUUCUGCAUGGUAGGUCUUGCCACCGAAUCAACAACAUAAACUUAUUAAUUUAGAAAUGACUACCUGUUUGGAUUUAGUCAGUCACCUAACUCCAUUUUCUGCCAGUGUUUUAGCAUCUUCAACAAAAUGAUGGAGGAAACUACUCAUUUUAGGAUGCCCCUUUCCAAACCACAGACAAGCCAGAGCCAUGUGAUUCCCUCUCUCUUUUGUUGGUAGCUCAUUUAUCAUCACAUGAAUAGGCCAAUUUGAAAUUACCAAGGCCAGGCUCCUUUCUGAUGAAGAGAACACACUGAGACAGCGUCUAGAGACGAAGAGGGCCCCCAUCCCCAAAAUAAGGACAGAAACUGCGUCACCCAACAGGAAAGGCAGCGCUGAGGAGGUGACCGCCAAUAGGAAAGAUACCUCGGAGAGAGUACCAAAGACUAAAGAAAAAGAAGUGUGCUUUCUUCGGAUGAUGAGGAUUCGGAAUGCACAGAUGAAGGUGGAGUGGUCCCUCAGCAAAUUUAUGAUGAAUUGCUCCAAGGGUACCAUCAGUUAAAGAAAAAAAAACAACAACUGUCAGUGGAUCUCAGAGAUCUUCAACAGAAAUAUGCAGAAUUGGAAAAAGUAAAAAAAGAAAUACAAAAUGAGCGUGACCGGUACAAAAGCUACCUAUGCUCCAUCCAGGGCAAUGUACACUGAACACUGCUCCAAAGGGAGGUGUUAGAGGUAUCCAGGAGUUCACCUGUUCAACCCAGCACCUCACAGGCCAGUCAGGAAACAAUCUUUCCCUGCCCAGAUGGAAAGGUACUGUAACGAGGACGCACGUGGAAGACGCGCGCCACCCCUCCCGAUGUGGUGUUCGGCGCACGUCAUCAC